GUUGUACACCUGCAAACGUUGCUUCGAGCUUCGAGGUUAAUCUCGUUAUAUCAGACACAGAGAGAGAGAGAGAGAGAGAAGGAGAAGGAAACCUAAAUCGAGCUUGAACUUCAAAAUGAAAAUUGCAGAAAUAUCCUUGUGGUGGCGGCUCUGAGACGGAAACCUGUCUCGCUGGUUGUUUCGAUGCUCGAGCUUAUGCGACAAAACGAUCAACCGAUCAAGAUGGCUCAGAAUGGUGGUGUCGCGGCAAUCGCUUACAAAUGCUCUGAGAGGAGAAUAUACAGUUUCAGAAAAGUUCUAUUUGAUAAGAGAAAAACUAGGAAAAAUCUCAAAACUAUUUCUGUGAUACCUCUUUUCAAGAAGGGUCUCCACAAAUGUGGAUCUGCUGUCGGUAAUUGCUUCAUCCUGGGAAUGGCUUACAGAGAGAAAUCCAGAUCCACAAUUUUGGAGUCAACGAAACAUAAAAGGGUUCCUAUCUUUGUCAUGAUGCCUGUUGAUGCAUUUUGUGUUGAUACUUCUGGGGUUCCAAGGAUUAGAAAAAUCAAGGCGUUAACUAUGUCUCUAAAAGCGCUCAAGUUGGCAGGUGUUCAUGGAAUCGCAGUAGAGGUUUGGUGGGGCAUUGUGGAGCGACAUUCUCCUUUUUCUUAUAAUUGGUCUCUAUAUGAAGAGCUCUUCAAUCUUGUAUCUCAGUCUGGGCUGAAGUUACAGGUUGCAUUGUGUUUUCAUUCUAAUGUGCAUUCAUCUUCUAAGGGAAAAGGGGGUGUCAGUCUUCCACUGUGGAUUAUGGAGAUUGGCUAUCUGAAUAGGGAUAUCUAUUAUCGAGACCAAACGGGGUCUUCGAAUGAUGAUUAUCUUACAUUAGGAGUGGACCAUCUACCUUUAUUUUGUGGUCGAACUGCGCUCCAGUGCUAUGAAGAUUUUAUGCUUAGUUUUGUAAAAACAUUUCAAUCACUUAUGGGAAACGUAAUUGAAGAAGUAAGCGUUGGACUUGGCCCUUCUGGGGAACUGAGGUACCCGGCCCAUCCUUUUGAUGAUGGUAGAUGGAGAUUUCCUGGAAUUGGUGAGUUCCAGUGUUACGAUAAGUACAUGAUGGAGGACUUGAAGAGGGCUGCAUGUGAGGCGGGAAGACCUCAGUGGGGAGAUAAGGGCCCGCAGAAUGCUGGCCGUUACAACAGUUUUCCGUCUGGAAUACCGUUCUUUGAAGAGGGAGGAGAAAGCUUUCUUUCCGAUUAUGGUCGCUUUUUUCUUGAAUGGUACAGUGGGAAGCUGAUUUGUCAUGCAGAUGCCAUUCUAGAAAAGGCUGCACAAUUGUUGAAGACAUAUGAAGAAACUGGGGCAAAUCCAGUUUUAUUAGUGGCCAAAAUUGGAGGAAUCUAUUGGUGGUACCAGACAGAUUCGCACCCGGCAGAACUAACAGCUGGUUACUACAACACAGCUCUAAGGGAUGGCUAUGAUCCAUUGGUUUCUGUGGUUUCUCGUCAUGGAGCUGCUUUGCAUAUCUCGUGCUUAGAAAUGAUUGACAGUGAGAUUCCACCUACCUAUCUAUGCAGCCCUGAAGGUCUACUCCAGCAGAUUCGUUCAUUAUCAAAGGAAAGGGUAAUACAACUCACUGGGAGAAAUGCUAAUGAAAGAUUUGAUAAGGCUGGACUCUUGCAAAUAAUUGCAAACUGUUACCAUCCACAGGCAGAGGCUGUACGGUCAUUCACUUAUUUCCGAAUGAAUGAUAAAAUUUUCAGGGUCGAGAAUUGGAACAACUUUGUCCCUUUUGUGAGAAGAAUGAAUACAGCAAUUCAUAGGACUAUUAAACUAGGAAAGAGUAAGUGGUAACAAGACAUUGGGAAGGCCAAGAGACUUGACGUGAUCAGAAAAGAAGCGAGUGGUUAUGAGUUGGAAGGAAGAAGAAGGCGUCCCCAGUGCAUGAGGCUCCUGCCACUGUGGAGUCUGGGGAGGAGCCAAGGAGCAAGUUGAAGGAAGACAUGGUCCAAGAUUCAAUGGAAUGGGAUUCAUGUGGCCAGACCGCCUAGGCCCCAGCAUCAGAUGUGUGGGUUGAAUGUAGAUAGAUUUUGGCGAGGAACAUCUAUGAUCCUUGAUAUGCAGAGCUUUUCUUGUGAUGGCUGUAUUUGGUUGCGAGGAAAAUGAAGGGAAAUGAAGUGAAAUUAGUAUGGAAAAGAAAAAAAAGUUUUGUUAUCAUGACUCUGUAAGUUGUCUAAAAUUCAUAUUAUAUUUGAUAAUUAUACUUCAGAUGUAAUCUUUAUUUAGAACUAAACAGAUUUGUUGCAAAGUAAAAUAAAAUUUAAACCAGAUUUGGGAUUUUUUUU